rnacentral:sRNA from 1 species
UUUUAGACCUGAUUGAAAUGAAAAGCCCGCAAGCGAGGUACGAGUGCGGACUUGUAAUGAAAAGCAGGACGAACA